ACGGGUGAGUAACACGUAGGCAACCUGCCCUCAAGCUUGGGACAACUACCGGAAACGGUAGCUAAUACCGAAUACUUGUUUUCUUCGCCUGAAGGAAACUGGAAAGACGGAGCAAUCUGUCACUUGAGGAUGGGCCUGCGGCGCAUUAGCUAGUUGGUGAGGUAACGGCUCACCAAGGCGACGAUGCGUAGCCGACCUGAGAGGGUGAUCGGCCACACUGGGACUGAGACACGGCCCAGACUCCUACGGGAGGCAGCAGUAGGGAAUCUUCCGCAAUGGGCGAAAGCCUGACGGAGCAAUGCCGCGUGAGUGAUGAAGGUUUUCGGAUCGUAAAGCUCUGUUGCCAGGGAAGAACGCUUAGGAGAGUAACUGCUCUUGAGGUGACGGUACCUGAGAAGAAAGCCCCGGCUAACUACGUGCCAGCAGCCGCGGUAAUACGUAGGGGGCAAGCGUUGUCCGGAAUUAUUGGGCGUAAAGCGCGCGCAGGCGGUCAUUUAAGUCUGGUGUUUAAUCCCGGGGCUCAACCCCGGAUCGCACUGGAAACUGGGUGACUUGAGUGCAGAAGAGGAGAGUGGAAUU
rnacentral:rRNA from 1 species